UGAAGUAAGUUCUUGACCAAAACCAGCAAAAAUCUUGCAGUUAAAGCUGAAACUUUUCAGCUUUGCUCCACCAGCCUUCAAGCAUCAACAUAACCAGAAAAUUUUUAGCAAAGUUCCUUUAAAAUCCAACACUAACCUCACUUAGAUUCAAGUAAAACAAUAUGUGCAUGUCACGAAAAUAAGGAUAGGAGGUAUAUAAAGUACAUCUAGACAAAAUCCAGCAAAACUUUAAAGAAAAGAACCAAAAAUAGCAGCUUUGUCCUCUUGGUCUUUAAGCAGCAAUUUAUCCAGAAAUUUCUAGCUUUGGAUGAACUUUUCUCCAACUAAACUUCUCUUUUCUCAGUUCUAAUUCAUUCUAAGACAUUAUUAACCAAAGGUAGAAGGAAAAUAAAGAAGAACUUAGCAAUUAC
rnacentral:lncRNA from 1 species